GACAGACGGAUCUAGCCUCCCAGCCUACAUCUUUCUCCUGUGCUGGAUGCUUCCUACCCUUGAACAUCAGACUCCAAGUUCUUCAGUUUUGGGACUCGGACUGGCUCUCCUUGCUCUUCAGCUUGCAGACAGCCUAUUGUGGGACCUUGUGAUUGUAUGAAGAAAUAAGAAUGGAAGCAUAAUCAUUUGUCCGAGGUCACAGAGGGAGAUGAUUACACAGCUGGAAUGUAAGCCUCAGUACUUUACUGAAUCCUUGGCUUUGUCCAUGGGCCCAGCUACAGGCAUAAAGCUUUUCUCUUCCCCAGCAGUGACUUCGAGUACCAGCUUUCAAAUUUAUUUGACAUUGAAUCUAAGCUUUGUGACCAGUAUGUAGAAGGAGAAGAAGGGGAGGAAUUACUUAUCCUUUGGCAUACAUUAGCAUGCAAAUAAAUCCUUUCUCUGCAUUGUGGAAGGGUCUGAAAUUAUCACAUAUACAAUGUAUCUUUUAUCAAUGGCCUUGCAUACAAAUUUUACUUUGAAGAAUCCAGAUUUAGAGGUCUUCUCCAAACAUUUGCAUUGUUUCUUUUUCUUAGGAUCAGAACUUCUACCUAUUGUCAUUUUAAGAAAAAAGAUCAUGAAUUAAUUAAUUUAUUCAUUAUUUACACCCUUAUAUUCUUUCCCAAAUGUUUUAAUGUGGCUUACAUUGUAUACAUGUACACAAUAAAUAUUUAUAUUUAAAUAAGUUAUAAUCACAGAAUGAGAAUAUUAUUACAACCACUCAUACUCAUUCAAAUAGCUUGAUUAUAUCAUUGAGCUUUUCUUUUAGUUCUGGGUUUUUUGCUGCCUAGUUUAAAUCAGAAUGGCAUCUGAUUUAAUUAAUGGAAACUGAGUUUAUUUGAUUGAUGGAAACAAGAUGAUUUCAAGUGUGAUGCACUUUUUCUGUACUAACGUUUGAGAUACAUUUAUUACAACUGGCCACUUCAUAAUGGGCCAUAAGCAUUGUUUAAAGACAAUGGCUACUAUUGUUUGAAAGCUAAGGAAAGAUCCAAUGCUACCAGAUGUAUAUUGGCUGAGAAAUGAUCAGCUGAAACUACAGGCUGAAAUGCUGUAUAAGGUAGGCAAUAAAAUUAGAGAAUGUUUGCCGAACCCACUAAGCAGCAAAGAGGACCCAGCUUAGAAGUAAUGUAAAUUUUAAAGCUCUUUACCAGUGGCAAGCUAAUUUGAAAUAUUAGAAGUUAUUAUUUGUUUUAUGUUUCUCUCUCUAGCAGUAUAGUUUUUAACCGGCUUGUAAGAGCUCUUUUGUUAGUAAUGAUAUCAACCCUUCUUCUCUAAAUUAGUUGUUUGCUUAUUUACAAUUUCUGAAUUUUUCUCAAACAUGACAAUGAUUCUGAUGCAGUGGUUCUCAAUCAGGGGUAGUUUUGUACUCCAAGGGACAUUUUGGCAAUGUCUGGAGACAUUUUUGGUUGUCAGAACUAAGAGGACUGUGCUCUGGGCAUUUAGUGGUUAGAGGACAAGAGUGCUGCUAAACAUCCUAUAACGGACAGGGUGUCACCCACAACAAAGAAGUAUCCAACUCCAAAUGUCAAUAAUGCUGCAGCCGAAAAACCCUGGUCUAAGGAAUCAUCAUCCUGGUGUAUUUUUUUUUUCCAGUAGUUCGGAAGAAUGUGAAGAAUUCUCCCAGAAUUUUUCAAGAUAUUCCAAGUACCUAUUUAUUUUAUAAUCCUUGAAGACUUACUAAGUACCCAUAAACUGGUUGAGGAAAGCCAGUUUCAAAAUAAAUAUGAAAUCAUAUUUAUUUUUCUCUGAUUAAUCAAGGUCAUCAUGUUUUUAGAUGCCCUGCAAAGAAAACUGGUCAAAAUGUAAGACUGGCCCUCACAUUAAAUCAUCCAAACUAGUAACACUCCUCUAAAGGACUUCCCUCUUGGAACAUUCUUGACUUUCACAUAAUCAGUAGGCAACCUCCUUAGUCAAGGAGUCCUCUCUAACUGGCAAACCUAUCAUUUGGAAGAAUGAUCUUUUCUUCCUCCUUGCUGACUUUAGUUUCAGACAGCUAAUUACAAGUCCUUGUUCCUCCGUGACCUAGACCUGUGACUUAAGGCAAAUUACAAUACCUUUUUUUCAUGCCUAAUUUUAUUUAAAGAUUUGAAAACUGUAUUGCAAUAUAACUGAAAUAAACUAAAUUGCACAAAGUA
rnacentral:lncRNA from 1 species